rnacentral:rRNA from 1 species
CUCAGAUUGAACGCUGGCGGCAUGCCUUACACAUGCAAGUCGAACGGCAGCACGGGCUUCGGCCUGGUGGCGAGUGGCGAACGGGUGAGUAAUACAUCGGAACGUGCCCUGUUGUGGGGGAUAACCAGUCGAAAGAUUGGCUAAUACCGCAUACGACCUGAGGGUGAAAGCGGGGGACCGCAAGGCCUCGCGCAGCAGGAGCGGCCGAUGUCUGAUUAGCUAGUUGGUGGGGUAAAGGCCCACCAAGGCGACGAUCAGUAGCUGGUCUGAGAGGACGAUCAGCCACACUGGGACUGAGACACGGCCCAGACUCCUACGGGAGGCAGCAGUGGGGAAUUUUGGACAAUGGGGGCAACCCUGAUCCAGCAAUGCCGCGUGUGUGAAGAAGGCCUUCGGGUUGUAAAGCACUUUUGUCCGGAAAGAAAACCUCUGCCCUAAUACGGCGGGGGGAUGACGUACCG